CACCCUUCAAAGAGUGCGUAACAGCUCACUAGUCGAGUGACCCUGCGCCGAAAAUGUACCGGGGCUAAGCAUGCUACCGAAGCUGCGGAUUUGUAGGAAUACAAGUGGUAGGGGAGCGUUCUAUGCAGCGUAGAAGCCAUAUCGUGAGGAGUGGUGGAGCGCAUAGAAGUGAGAAUGCCGGUGUGAGUAGCGAGAUGUAGGUGAGAAUCCUACACACCGAUAGCCCAAGGAUUCCAGGGGAAGGUUCGUCCGCCCUGGGUAAGUCGGGACCUAACGCGAGGCCGAAAGGCGUAGUGGAUGGAAAACAGGCAGAUAUUCCUGUACCCGCGAUGGAAAUGAAGGAAUGACGGAGAAGGUAAGUAUGACCCACUAAAUGGAUUGUGGGCGAAGCGUAUAGCAGGAUGGCAGUGAAAUGCGUCAUCAGGAUGUAAAGCGUGAAAGGUAAGGGAACGCCCAAGGGCAAGUACCGAAGCAUAUGUAGCCAGCUUCCAGGAAAAGUUUCUAGUAUAUUCCAUAGCGGCCCGUACCAAAACCGACACAGGUGGGCAAGGAGAGGAUCCUGAGGUGAGCGAGAGAACUGUUGCCAAGGAACUCGGCAAAAUGACUCCGUAAGUUAGCGAGAAGGAGUGCUUAUGAAAGUAAGCCGCAGUGAAGAGGCCCAAGCGACUGUUUAACUAAAACACAGCUCUCUGCAAAGUCGCAAGACGAAGUAUAGGGGGUGACGCCUGCCCGGUGCUGGAAGGUUAAGAGGAUUUGUCAGUAGCGAUACGAAGCAAUGAAUUGAAGCCCCAGUGAACGGCGGCCGUAACUAUAACGGUCCUAAGGUAGCGAAAUUCCUUGUCAGGUAAGUUCUGACCCGCACGAAAGGCGUAACGAUUUGGGCGCUGUCUCGGCAGCAGACUCGGUGAAAUCUUAGUACCUGUGAAAAUGCAGGUUACCCGCAACUAGACGGAAAGACCCCAUGGAGCUUUACUGCAGCCUGAUAUUGAGUUUCGAUCAGAGAUGUACAGGAUAGGUGGGAGACAAAGAGACAUGCACGCCAGUGUAUGAGGAGUCGCUGUUGGGAUACCACUCUUGUCUGAUUGGAAUUCUAACCUGCAUCCCUAAGCGGGAUGAGGGACCGUGUCAGGUGGGCAGUUUGACUGGGGCGGUCGCCUCCCAAAGAGUAACGGAGGCGCCCAAAGGUACGCUCAGAUUGGAUGGAAAUCAAUCGAC
rnacentral:rRNA from 1 species